rnacentral:rRNA from 1 species
UCCGGUCGGAGAAGUUACUGUUGCUAGCCUCAGAGCUACACGUAAGAGUUGGGUUUAUGUUGGCGAGGGGCGAAUGGGAGAGGAAUGCGGGGGAGUGUACUCUGUCGGGGGGGAUAACGUGGGGAAACUUACGCUAAUACCGCAAACUACCUAGGGGUGAAAGCGGGGGAUCUUCAGACCUUGCGCGAUUGAAUGAGCCGAUGCCAGAUUAGCUUGUUGGCGGGGUAAGAGCCCACCAGGGCCACUAUCGGUAGCUGGUCUGAGAGGAUGAUCACCCACACUGGAACUGAGACACGGUCCAGACUCCUACGGGAGGCAGCAGUGGGGAAUAUUGGACAAUGGGCGCAAGCCUGAUCCACCCAUACCGCGUGGGUGAAGAAGGCCUUCGGGUUGUAAAGCCCUUUUGUUGGGAAAGAAAAGCAGCCUGUUAAUACCCGGUUGUUCUGACGGUACCCAAAGAAUAAGCACCGGCUAACUUCGUGCCAGCAGCCGCGGUAAUACGAAGGGUGCAAGCGUUACUCGGAAUUACUGGGCGUAAAGCGUGCGUAGGUGGUUGUUUAAGUCUGUCGUGAAAGCCCUGGGCUCAACCUGGGAAUGGCGAUAGAAACUGGGCGACUAGAGUGUGGCAGAGGGUAGUGGAAUUCCUGGUGUAGCAGUGAAAUGCGUAGAGAUCAGGAGGAACAUCCGUGGCGAAAGCGACCGCCUGGGCCAACACUGACACUGAGGCACGAAAGCGUGGGGAGCAAACAGGAUUAGAUACCCUGGUAGUCCACGCCCUAAACGAUGCGAACUGGAUGUUGGGUGCAAUUUGGUACGCACUAUCGAAAGCUAACGCGUUAGCUUCGCCUCCCGGGGAGUUACCGCUCGCGAGGACUGAAACUUCUAUGGAAUGACGGGGGCCCGCACCAGCCGGUGGAGUAUGUGGUUUUAUUUUCGAUUGCAGACGGCGGAAGAAGCCUUAUCUUGGUCUUUGACGUGCCACGG